AGCUCCAAUAGCGUAUAUUUAAGUUGUUGGUGUUAAAAAGCUCGUAGUUGGAUUUCGGGCGGGGGUCAGCGGUCUCCAGACGGUUGUACUGCUGACGCCCGCCUUGCUGCCGGCGACGGGCUCCCCGCUUCACUGCGGCGGACCCGGGGCCGGCGACGUUACUUUGAGUAAAUUGGAGUGUUCAAAGCAAGCCACCGCUCUGAACAUAAUAGCAUGGGAUAACACGACAGGACUCUGGCCUAUCGUGUUGGUCUGUAGGACCGGAGUAAUGAUUAACAGGACCAGUCGGGGGCACUCGUAUUCCGCCGUCAGCGGUGAAAUGCUCGGAUCGGCGGAAGACGAACAUCUGCGAAAGCAUUUGCCAAGGAUGUUUCCA
rnacentral:rRNA from 1 species